UAUGUAUGUGUGUGUGAGUAUCAGGAAAAAAAUGGCACGAUCAGGUUCAGACUUCGAUCACAUGACCACAAUAUUACCAACUUUUAGCACACAUGUGCAGAUGGCAGUGUGAUAAUAAUAAUAAAAAUAUGUUAUGGUGAAGGUGUGGAUAAUUUUUGAUUUCCCC